AAAGUGCUAGUAAAACAAUUACACUGCUUUGUCAAGGCAGAAUUGCAGGUUAAAACCCUGCGCACUUUA
rnacentral:tRNA from 1 species